rnacentral:rRNA from 1 species
GGCGAGUGACCGGGAAGAGCUCAAAUUUGAAAUCUGGCGUCCUCAGGGCGUCCGAGUUGUAAUCUAUAGAGGCGUUUUCCGUGCCGGACCGUGUCCAAGUUCCUUGGAACAGGAUAUCAAAGAGGGUGACAAUCCCGUACUUGACACGACGACCGGUGCUCUGUGAUACGUCUUCUACGAGUCGAGUUGUUUGGGAAUGCAGCUCAAAAUGGGUGGUGAGUUCCAUCUAAAGCUAAAUAUUGGCGAGAGACCGAUAGCGAACAAGUACCGUGAGGGAAAGAUGAAAAGCACUUUGGAAAGAGAGUUAAACAGUACGUGAAAUUGUUGAAAGGGAAACGAUUGAAGUCAGUCGUGACCGAGAGGCUCAGCCGGUUCUGCCGGUGUAUUCCCCUCGGUCGGGUCAACAUCAGUUUUGUCCGGUGGAUAAGGGCGGUAGGAAGGUGGCACCCUCGGGUGUGUUAUAGCCUGCCGUCGCAUACAUCGGGUGAGACUGAGGAACGCAGCUCGCCUUUAUGGCCGGGGUUCGCCCACGUCCGAGCUUAGGAUGUUGACAUAAUGGCUUUAAACGACCCGUCUUGAA